rnacentral:sRNA from 1 species
CAAUCAUGCACUUAACUACCAAAAAGAGUAAACUCCUCUCAGAGACUUCUUAAUACAAUUCAGUGCAAAUAAAAUACAUUUGCUGUUUCAUGUAGCAUGAGAAAUCCCAAGUCCUUCUGUUCCUUUACUGAAAAGUAGCUGUUUGUAAGUAAGAUCUGCAUCAUAAAAACUUUCUAAAUCCCUAAGUAAGAGAUAUCAAGUGCCCAGCAGUUUCCUAAAUGUCAGUCCACAUAGGUAGCCAGUCACCCUCAAAAAGUCCAGCAGUUUUAUCAGGAAGGAAUCUAAAGAUAUAUAUCUUCCAAGCUGGCUCUGGGUCUCUUAGCUUUUUCAAACUAAAUGUGUGGUCGUGGGAUUGCUUGCUUUCACAGGUUCUAAACUCUGUUUCCCUGGUCUGUUUUUCAGUAUCUCGCACCUGAGGUGCUUCAUAAGCAGCCUUAUGACAGGACCGUGGACUGGUGGUGCCUGGGAGCCGUCUUGUAUGAGAUGCUGUAUGGCUUGCCUCCUUUUUAUAGCCGAAACACAGCUGAAAUGUAUGACAACAUUCUGAACAAGCCCCUCCAGUUGAAACCAAA